rnacentral:rRNA from 1 species
UACGUAGGGUGCAGGCGUUAAUCGGAAUUACUGGGCGUAAAGCGUGCGCAGGCGGUUUCUUAAGUCAGAUGUGAAAGCCCCGGGCUUAACCUGGGAACUGCGUUUGAAACUGGGAGACUUGAGUGUGGCAGAGGGGGGGUGGAAUUCCACGGUGUAGCAGUGAAAUGCGUAGAUAAUGUGGAGGAACACCGAUGGCGGAAGGCAGCCCCCUGGGUUAACACU